UUAAGUUAUUAAGGGCGCACGGUGGAUGCCUUGGCACUAGAAGCCGAUGAAGGACGUUACUAACGACGAUAUGCUUUGGGGAGCUGUAAGUAAGCUUUGAUCCAGAGAUUUCCGAAUGGGGAAACCCAGCAUGAGUUAUGUCAUGUUAUCGAUAUGUGAAUACAUAGCAUAUCAGAAGGCACACCCGGAGAACUGAAACAUCUUAGUACCCGGAGGAAGAGAAAGAAAAUUCGAUUCCCUUAGUAGCGGCGAGCGAAACGGGAAGAGCCCAAACCAACAAGCUUGCUUGUUGGGGUUGUAGGACACUCUAUACGGAGUUACAAAGGACGACAUUAGAUGAAUCAUCUGGAAAGAUGAAUCAAAGAAGGUAAUAAUCCUGUAGUCGAAAAUGUUGUCUCUCUUGAGUGGAUCCUGAGUACGACGGAGCACGUGAAAUUCCGUCGGAAUCUGGGAGGACCAUCUCCUAAGGCUAAAUACUCUCUAGUGACCGAUAGUGAACCAGUACCGUGAGGGAAAGGUGAAAAGCACCCCGGAAGGGGAGUGAAAUAGAACCUGAAACCGUGUGCUUACAAGUAGUCAGAGCCCGUUAAUGGGUGAUGGCGUGCCUUUUGUAGAAUGAACCGGCGAGUUACGAUUUGAUGCAAGGUUAAGCAGUAAAUGUGGAGCCGUAGCGAAAGCGAGUCUGAAUAGGGCGUUUAGUAUUUGGUCGUAGACCCGAAACCAGGUGAUCUACCCUUGGUCAGGUUGAAGUUCAGGUAACACUGAAUGGAGGACCGAACCGACUUACGUUGAAAAGUGAGCGGAUGAACUGAGGGUAGCGGAGAAAUUCCAAUCGAACCUGGAGAUAGCUGGUUCUCUCCGAAAUAGCUUUAGGGCUAGCCUCAAGUGAUGAUUAUUGGAGGUAGAGCACUGUUUGGACGAGGGGCCCCUCUCGGGUUACCGAAUUCAGACAAACUCCGAAUGCCAAUUAAUUUAACUUGGGAGUCAGAACAUGGGUGAUAAGGUCCGUGUUCGAAAGGGAAACAGCCCAGACCACCAGCUAAGGUCCCAAAAUAUAUGUUAAGUGGAAAAGGAUGUGGCGUUGCCCAGACAACUAGGAUGUUGGCUUAGAAGCAGCCAUCAUUUAAAGAGUGCGUAAUAGCUCACUAGUCGAGUGACACUGCGCCGAAAAUGUACCGGGGCUAAACAUAUUACCGAAGCUGUGGAUUGUCCUUUGGACAAUGGUAGGAGAGCGUUCUAAGGGCGUUGAAGCAUGAUCGUAAGGACAUGUGGAGCGCUUAGAAGUGAGAAUGCCGGUGUGAGUAGCGAAAGACGGGUGAGAAUCCCGUCCACCGAUUGACUAAGGUUUCCAGAGGAAGGCUCGUCCGCUCUGGGUUAGUCGGGUCCUAAGCUGAGGCCGACAGGCGUAGGCGAUGGAUAACAGGUUGAUAUUCCUGUACCACCUAUAAUCGUUUUAAUCGAUGGGGGGACGCAGUAGGAUAGGCGAAGCGUGCGAUUGGAUUGCACGUCUAAGCAGUAAGGCUGAGUAUUAGGCAAAUCCGGUACUCGUUAAGGCUGAGCUGUGAUGGGGAGAAGACAUUGUGUCUUCGAGUCGUUGAUUUCACACUGCCGAGAAAAGCCUCUAGAUAGAAAAUAGGUGCCCGUACCGCAAACCGACACAGGUAGUCAAGAUGAGAAUUCUAAGGUGAGCGAGCGAACUCUCGUUAAGGAACUCGGCAAAAUGACCCCGUAACUUCGGGAGAAGGGGUGCUCUUUAGGGUUAACGCCCAGAAGAGCCGCAGUGAAUAGGCCCAAGCGACUGUUUAUCAAAAACACAGGUCUCUGCUAAACCGUAAGGUGAUGUAUAGGGGCUGACGCCUGCCCGGUGCUGGAAGGUUAAGAGGAGUGGUUAGCUUCUGCGAAGCUACGAAUCGAAGCCCCAGUAAACGGCGGCCGUAACUAUAACGGUCCUAAGGUAGCGAAAUUCCUUGUCGGGUAAGUUCCGACCCGCACGAAAGGCGUAACGAUUUGGGCACUGUCUCAACGAGAGACUCGGUGAAAUCAUAGUACCUGUGAAGAUGCAGGUUACCCGCGACAGGACGGAAAGACCCCGUGGAGCUUUACUGUAGCCUGAUAUUGAAAUUCGGCACAGCUUGUACAGGAUAGGUAGGAGCCUUUGAAACGUGAGCGCUAGCUUACGUGGAGGCGCUGGUGGGAUACUACCCUAGCUGUGUUGGCUUUCUAACCCGCACCACUUAUCGUGGUGGGAGACAGUGUCAGGCGGGCAGUUUGACUGGGGCGGUCGCCUCCUAAAAGGUAACGGAGGCGCUCAAAGGUUCCCUCAGAAUGGUUGGAAAUCAUUCAUAGAGUGUAAAGGCAUAAGGGAGCUUGACUGCGAGACCUACAAGUCGAGCAGGGUCGAAAGACGGACUUAGUGAUCCGGUGGUUCCGCAUGGAAGGGCCAUCGCUCAACGGAUAAAAGCUACCCCGGGGAUAACAGGCUUAUCUCCCCCAAGAGUUCACAUCGACGGGGAGGUUUGGCACCUCGAUGUCGGCUCAUCGCAUCCUGGGGCUGUAGUCGGUCCCAAGGGUUGGGCUGUUCGCCCAUUAAAGCGGUACGCGAGCUGGGUUCAGAACGUCGUGAGACAGUUCGGUCCCUAUCCGUCGUGGGCGUAGGAAAUUUGAGAGGAGCUGUCCUUAGUACGAGAGGACCGGGAUGGACAUACCUCUGGUGUACCAGUUGUCGUGCCAACGGCAUAGCUGGGUAGCUAUGUGUGGACGGGAUAAGUGCUGAAAGCAUCUAAGCAUGAAGCCCCCCUCAAGAUGAGAUUUCCCAACUUCGGUUAUAAGAUCCCAUAAGAUCCCUCAAAGAUGAUGAGGUUAAUAGGUUCGAGGUGGAAGCAUGGUGACAUGUGGAGCUGACGAAUACUAAUCGAUCGAAGACUUAAUCAA
rnacentral:rRNA from 1 species